rnacentral:lncRNA from 1 species
ACCUAUUCAUGGCCGGAAUUACCAUGAGGUUGUGCGAUUGUAUUGUACUUUCGUGUUCUUUUUCCUCCUCUGUCGCUUGUUGUUUAAGCCAGCGAAGUACUCUCCGGACACCAACUGCUUAUGCAUAAUGUGCUUCAAUGCUCCAUUAAAUAUCACUCUAGCGGCCUCAAUUAUUCUUAUUUUAAUCUUAUAAAAAAAAAACUUGAUGCAUCAACAAUUCACCUCUUUGGUUUGUUAAAAGGAUUAAAAAAUAAUCCCAGCAAAACUCAAUGUGUUAACUAUUGAGCUUAAGUCAUAAUAGCUAAGAAACUUUAAUAAAACAGUUCUUUUUUUAAAGACCUCUACAAUAUAAUCGAUAAUUGAACACUCUAGCGGCCUCAAUUAUUCUUAUUUUAAUCUUAUAAAAAAAAAACUUGAUGCAUCAACAAUUCACCUCUUUGAUUUGUUAAAAGGAUUAAAAAAUAAUCCCAGCAAAACUCAAUGUGUUAACUAUUGAGCUUAAGUCAUAAUAGCUAAGAAACUUUAAUAAAAACAGUUCUUUUUUUAAAGACCUCUACAAUAUAAUCGAUAAUUGGAAGAAAAUGAUAAGAAUCAAAUAC